rnacentral:rRNA from 1 species
UACGUAGGGUGCAAGCGUUAAUCGGAAUCACUGGGCGUAAAGCGUGCGCAGGCGGUUAUGCAAGCCAGAGGUGAAAUCCCCGGGCUCAACCUGGGAACUGCCUUUGUGACUGCAUGGCUAGAGUACGGUAGAGGGGGAUGGAAUUCCGCGUGUAGCAGUGAAAUGCGUAGAUAUGCGGAGGAACACCGAUGGCGAAGGCAAUCCCCUGGACCUGUACUGACGCUCAUGCACGAAAGCGUGGGGAGCAAACAGG